rnacentral:tRNA from 1 species
GGAUAGCUCAGUUGGUAGAGCAGCGGACUUUUAAUCCGUUGGUCCCGCGUUCGAGUCGCGGACGACCCACCA